rnacentral:miRNA from 1 species
UUCGGGAUCUCUGAGGCUAUGG